rnacentral:misc_RNA from 1 species
AACCAUUCUCACCUGCGGCUAGACCUGCGGAAGGAUCAUUACAGAGUUAUCCAACUCCCAAACCCAUGUGAACUUAUCUCUUUGUUGCCUCGGCGCAAGCUACCCGGGACCCCGCGCCCCGGGCGGCCCGCCGGCGGACAAACCAAAACUCUUGUUAUCUUAGUUGAUUCUCUGAGCGUCUUAUUUAAUAAGUCGAAACUUUUAACAAUGGAUCU